CUUCGACAUUUUUUUUUUUCGUUUCGCGAUAAUCGACGAGAUCAAAAUUGGAAGAGAUUUCGAUCAAAUCGGAAGCAAACAAUGAAAAAUCGGAGGGGUUUAUGUACCAAUAUCAUGAUCUGCAUGAGUAUCAGCAUCUGGGAUUCUCUCCAUCGUCUCUGCCUUAUAAAUUGAACACGGACUAUGAGUUAUUGGUUCCCUGACUCUGCUGAUGUUUCAUAGACUUAGAUGACUUGGGAGGUUUGAUUUGUGAAGCUUAUCGUUGCAAUGGAAUGAUAGCCAUAUAUAUGUGAUCGUGUGUUGCAGAACAAGCUUGGUCUCCGUCGUGAGCAAUGGCUUUCUCAAGGUAAUAACGGCAGUGGCUUUUGCUCUUGAAAAUGUAGAUGAUGAUGAUGGGUGUGUAGAUGAGGUACAUCUCUGCUUUUCGAUUUCAGAUUUCUCAGUUCCCAAUUGAUAUUAGAAAUUACCAUAGAAGAUCUAAUACACUUUGUAGAUGAUUAUAGCUCUUCGUGGUUUCAUCUUCUUGAUGUGCACAUAUAUAGAAUUCAAAUACACUUUGUUUCUGAAAACCAAGUGGCGACUUAUUGUGAUCUUCAAUGUGGUUUUGUUUGUUGUCUUGGUUUGGAAAUGGACUAGGACUCUCUAUUCUUGUCAAACAUAGCAUCUUGUCGGUCUUGUAUAGAAUUGGAGUAGGACUCUCUGUUUUGGUAUAUUUGUACCUUGUCGGUCUUGUAUAGAAAUGGAGCAUUGCAUCUUGUUUCACAUUCUUGCAAUUGGUUCUUUUUUUUUGUCAAUCACUUGCAAUUGGUUCUCUGUUUUGGUUUAUAUCUAUUGUAACAAAACCAUAUAUUGCAUGAUUGUACAUCUUCUUUUUGUUUUAA